CACGUAGGGGGCGAGCGUUGUUCGGAUUCAUUGGGCGUAAAGGGUGCGUAGGCGGCGCGGUAAGUCGGGUGUGAAAUUUCGAGGCUUAACUUCGAAACUGCAUUCGAUACUGCCGUGCUUGAGGACUGGAGAGGAGACUGGAAUUUACGGUGUAGCGGUGAAAUGCGUAGAUAUCGUAAGGAAGACCAGUGGCGAAGGCGGGUCUCUGGACAGUUCCUGACGCUGAGGCACGAAGGUCAGGGGAGCAAACGGG
rnacentral:rRNA from 1 species